UACGAAGGGUGCAAGCGUUACUCGGAAUUACUGGGCGUAAAGCGUGCGUAGGCGGUAUGUUAAGUCUGAUGUGAAAUCCCCGGGCUCAACCUGGGAAUGGCAUUGGAUACUGGCAGGCUAGAGUACGGUAGAGGGUGGUGGAAUUCCCGGUGUAGCAGUGAAAUGCGUAGAGAUCGGGAGGAACAUCUGUGGCGAAGGCGGCCACCUGGACCAGUACUGACGCUGAGGCACGAAAGCGUGGGGAGCAAACAGG
rnacentral:rRNA from 1 species